AACGUAGGCGGCGAGCGUUAUCCGGAUUUACUGGGCGUAAAGAGGGCGCAGGCGGCUCUUUAAGUCGAGUGUGAAAUCUCCUGGCCUAACUGGGAGAGGUCAUUCGAAACUGGGGAGCUUGAGGGCAGCAGAGGGAGGUGGAAUUCCCGGUGUAGUGGUGAAAUGCGUAGAUAUCGGGAGGAACACCAGUGGCGAAGGCGGCCUCCUGGGCUGCCCCUGACGCUUAAGCCCGAAGGCGUGGGGAG
rnacentral:rRNA from 1 species